GUUAGGACAGGACAAUGCCGAUUUUAUGAUCCUGUCCCAACGUUACAGAUUUGUUCCCUGGUGUCUCACUUUGAGGACACAAGGAAACUGUCCCCAAAAAGCAUAGCACAAGCACAUUUAAGGGCCUGCCCUCAGUGGGUUGGCCUGUGUGAUUGGCGGGCUGACUGCCAGUUCUUCUGAGGGAACCACUCCAAUUCUAAGUGUGUCUACCAUCUUUGGAGCGGCACCAGUGACGUGAUUCACAUU